UACCUCAGUAACGGCGAGUGAAGCGGUAACAGCUCAAAUUUGAAAUCUGGUCCUUUCAGGGCCCGAGUUGUAAUUUGUAGAAGAUGCUUUGGGUGUGGCCCCGGUCUAAGUUCCUUGGAACAGGACGUCAUAGAGGGUGAGAAUCCCGUAUGUGACUGGGUGCUUUCGCCCGUGUAAAGCUCUUUCGACGAGUCGAGUUGUUUGGGAAUGCAGCUCUAAAUGGGUGGUAUAUUUCAUCUAAAGCUAAAUAUUGGCCAGAGACCGAUAGCGCACAAGUAGAGUGAUCGAAAGAUGAAAAGCACUUUGGAAAGAGAGUUAAACAGUACGUGAAAUUGUUGAAAGGGAAGCGCUUGCAACCAGACUCGCAUGCCGUCGAUCAUCCUGGGUUCUCCCUGGUGCACUCGGCGGCGUUCGGGCCAGCAUCGGUUUUGGUGGCGGGAUAAAGGCCUUGGGAAUGUAGCUCCUCUCGGGGAGUGUUAUAGCCCUCGGUGCAAUGCCGCCUACCGGGACCGAGGACCGCGCUUCGGCUAGGAUGCUGGCGUAAUGGUUGUAAGCGACCCGUCUUGAAACACGGACCAAGGAGUCUAACAUCUAUGCGAGUAUUUGGGUGUCAAACCCAUAUGCGUAAUGAAAGUGAACGGAGGUGAGAACCCUUUAGGGUGCAUCAUCGACCGAUCCUGAUGUCUUCGGAUGGAUUUGAGUAAGAGCAUAGCUGUUGGGACCCGAAAGAUGGUGAACUAUGCCUAAAUAGGGUGAAGCCAGAGGAAACUCUGGUGGAGGCUCGCAGCGGUUCUGACGUGCAAAUCGAUCGUCAAAUUUGGGUAUAGGGGCGAAAGACUAAUCGAACCAUUGAACUACUAGGUGGUCAAGAGAGGCCGCGAGAGCGGCGCCUAGUCCUAGGUCAUAGGGCAACAUUAUCAAAUUGUACGGGGACGUCCCGCUCUAAAUCCAAGCUACCGCAGCUGUCUCGAAAGAGCAGCGCGCACCAGGUUAACGACCUCGGGGAUGGUAACAACGCGAGGAUAGGGAUAAUCCGCAGCCAAGUCCUAACAGUGGUUCCCACUCACGGAUGCAGUUCACAGACUAAAUGGUAAUGGGCCCGGGUUCCACGGAGCCUGGGUUUAAGUUAUAGUCGAGCCGCCAGGAGACUGGUCACCGCAGAGGAAUGNCCUNGAGAUGACCUUCGUCUAGGGCAGGAGAGCUGUGGAGGGGGGCUGCCGUCUGGCA
rnacentral:rRNA from 1 species